AGAAGUUUGAUUAUGGCUCAGGAUGAACGCUAGCGGCAGGCCUAACACAUGCAAGUCGCGGGGCAGCACGGGUAGCAAUACCUGGUGGCGACCGGCGCACGGGUGCGUAACGCGUAUGCAACCUGCCCCCAUCAGGGGAAUAGCCCGCCGAAAGGCGGAUUAAUGCCCCAUAGGCCCAGGGCGCCGCAUGGCGCUAUGGGUAAAGCUCCGGCGGAUGGGGAUGGGCAUGCGUGCCAUUAGCUAGUUGGGGCGGUAACGGCGCACCAAGGCGACGAUGGUUAGGGGGUCUGAGAGGAUGGUCCCCCACACUGGUACUGAGACACGGACCAGACUCCUACGGGAGGCAGCAGUGAGGAAUAUUGGUCAAUGGGCGGAAGCCUGAACCAGCCAUGCCGCGUGCAGGAUGACGGCCCUACGGGUUGUAAACUUCUUUUAUAAGGGAAUAAAGUGAGGGACGUGUCCCUUUUUGUAUGUACCUUAUGAAUAAGGAUCGGCUAACUCCGUGCCAGCCGCCGC
rnacentral:rRNA from 1 species